rnacentral:rRNA from 1 species
UACAGAGGGGGCAAGCGUUGUUCGGAAUUACUGGGCGUAAAGGGCGCGUAGGCGGCCCGUUAAGUCGAACGUGAAAUCCCCAGGCUCAACCUGGGAACUGCGUCCGAUACUGGCGGGCUUGAAUCCGGGAGAGGGAUGCGGAAUUCCAGGUGUAGCGGUGAAAUGCGUAGAUAUCUGGAGGAACACCGGUGGCGAAGGCGGCAUCCUGGACCGGCAUUGACGCCUGAGGCGCGAAAGCCAGGGGAGCAAAACGGGG